UUUUUUCAACUUUCUUUAAUGGGGUUGGCUUGCAGAGAAGUGGAACUGGGUGCUCCCAGACCCUGUGGGCAUUUUGAGAAGCAGGAAGGUGUCAUUUGGGGCAGGGCACCUCCACGUGCACCAGAUAAAAGCCAGCCUUCAGUGAUGAUGGUUGUCUUGCCUUGGUCCCAUUUUGGUUGUGCGCGUGCAUCGGAGGCUGUCUGAAGACAUAAGGAGCAGGAUUUUUGCACAUUUUCAUGUGCCUCCUGCUGACGGCUUACGGACCGUCUGAAAGCCAGAGGAUGUGGGCUGGCAAGACAUCAGGACAGACGGACAGAGCCCCGUGUGGAUGGGAGAGGCGGCAGCACUGCAGGCAGCACAGCGGGACAUCAAAGAAUCAAUUUGCCUCUAGCCACAGUCCUGACGCCGGCAGGCACAGCCAAGGAAAUGACCCAGAGAGCAACAAGACAGAUCUGUGAUGAAAUCCAAAGUAAAAUUGCCUACUAGAAGCCUAAAGAACUAGACUCAGAGUGUGUCCAUGGACUCAAACCCGAGGGUUUAGUUCCCAAAAGACCCACUUCCCAUCAAUAUUUGGUGAAAUUUCAAGCCUGUGCUGUGAGGAUGCCCCAGCUGGGUUCAUGAGGAGGGAGAUUUCAGGCUGCCUGCACACAGUGUGGGCUCUCACCUUUGAGUAGUGGCUUGGGCUGCUCUGUAGUCCCCAGCAGGGACAAGAGUCAUGCAAACUUUCCUUCCUGGAAAAGAAAAAAAAUCAGAAAAAAAAAAAAAAAGAAAGAGGAACUUUUAAAACCAAGCAUCCUUGAAAGCCCUUAGUCUGUAGCACCCCAGAAGGAUCCCCCAUCCUUUGGUGCCCAGUCCAUCACAAGGAGAAGGGUUAAAAACCCAGACUGACAGAACAAAGCAGCAGCCGUAGUACCACGGAGAAGACUUUGGCAGGUGGAUAACGAGGUACCUCCUUCCUGUAGUGACAUAUUUUCAUAUUCUAAGAAGCAAAUGAAACCAGCGUGGCUGACCCAUCUGCACUCGCGGUACCACUAAGCAAGAGGGAAGUGAAGAGCAACACUAUUGUAAAGAAGAGGGUUUAGCAAACGAAGAGGACUUUUUCAUUAUGGGGUCUGGGUUUUAUGUUGUAUUUUUAUUGCUACAGAUGGCUUUGUGUGGGAUAUAGCAGCUAUCCUGCUGUGUCGGAAGAAUUAUGUUCAAUUUAAAUGUCUGAAUUUCCACUCUACAGGUUUUGUAGGAAAUAAAUAAACAGUUUCAUGCA
rnacentral:lncRNA from 1 species